CCAAAGGCCCUUUUCAGGGCCAUCACAUUAAGAGUCCGCUGCUUAG
rfam:Soboliphyme baturini genome assembly, scaffold: SBAD_scaffold0005007